rfam:Pan troglodytes isolate Yerkes chimp pedigree #C0471 (Clint) chromosome 2B, whole genome shotgun sequence.
GCUGGGCAUGGUGACACAUGCCUGUAAUCCCAGCUACUUGGGAGGCUGAGGCAGGAGAAUUGCUUGAGCCCAGGAGGUGGAGGUUGCAGUGAGCUGAUAUCAUACCACUGCACUCCAGCCUGGCCAACAGAGCUAGACUCUGUCUCAA